rnacentral:rRNA from 1 species
AUACGGAGGGUCCAAGCGUUAUCCGGAUUCAUUGGGUUUAAAGGGUCCGCAGGCGGGAAAAUAAGUCAGUGGUGAGAGCCUACAGCUCAACUGUAGAACUGCCAUUGAAACUGUUUUUCUUGAGUAUAGAUGAAGUGGGCGGAAUAUAUCAUGUAGCGGUGAAAUGCAUAGAUAUGAUAUAGAACACCGAUUGCGAAGGCAGCUCACUAAACUAUUACUGACGCUCAGGGACGAAAGCGUGGGGAGCGAACAGGAUUAGAUACCCCGGUAGUCC